AAACGCUUGAAGUCAGACGUGCGCGGUGCGAUUCAGCCUUGGUUCGCCAGGGUGUACUUCGUACCAUUGCAGGCCAGCAUCGGUUUUGUGAGCCGGAUAAAGGUUAGAGGAAGGUAGCGGUCCAGGCCGUGUUAUAGCCUCUAACUGAAUACGGAUUGUGAGACCGAGGGACGCAGCGCGCCGCAAGGCAAAGGGUCCGCCCUUUUCGCGCUUAGGAUGCUGGUGAAAUGGCUUUAAACGA
rnacentral:rRNA from 1 species